CUUCAGUGCCAACAUUAAGAUGAUGCUCCAAUCAGAUCGAUAGAAGACAUGGGAGUUCACCCGUUUGAGUCAUUGUUUCAUGCCGUCUAUAGACUCAGGGAGACAUUGUUCAUUUAGAAAACAUUCAUUGUUCAUUUAGAAAAAUUAUGUCUGCAGUCAUGAUGACUAGAAAGUUUUUUUUAAAAUGAAAGCUUAGAUUCUGGAGAACCUGAAUGUCAUGUGUGUCAUGUAAUUAAAUCAUGCUGUCUGGAUGCUUUACACCCCUAUUUUAGAGAAUCAUUUAAAAAAUGACUACAGAGCAAGAUUCUGCAACGGAGAAGGAAAACAACAGAUUAAUGUACAGCCAGGCCAAAAUGUACUGAAAAUUAUACGAGAUUGUUUUGAAAAUUGUGUUAGUGAUUCUACAAUAAAUUCUCCAAGCAUAACACAUUGCUCAACCCCUGUCAUUUUUAAGCAAAAGGAGGAUUUAUUACUGAGCAAAGAGUUAAAUUCAGGUUUAUUUAACUCUGUGAAGAAGACGUUUAAGUCUACAUCCUCUGUAGAUGCAUCACCAGUAAAAUCAAUCAGCUGUUCAGGACAGUCAGCUGAAGCACAUCAGAAAGCUAUAGCACUUGAGAACAUAGUUGGCUCUAACAAAAAAGAGGGGUGUGUAUUAAAAGAAGAUACAAGCUCAAGUGAAGAUGAUCUUUUUGAUGCUGGUAAUCCUGUUGGUUCUAACAAGAAAGCAAGUAGUAUAUUAAAAGAUGUUGAAAGAUCAAGCCAAAGCCCUGCUGGCAUCUUUGAUACUGAUGAGGAUAAUUAUGAGGUCAUUGGAUCACCUGUUCUUCUUGUUGAGGAAGCAGAAACAUCUGUACACCUAUUAAGUCUUGAUGAAAAAGCAACUCUAGCAGUGAUGAAGAGACAGACAGAAGUUCGAAGGUCAGAACAAGGUCCUCAGGCAAGGACAGAAGAGCAGAUAGUUCCAGUGGAAAGAGCAAAAUGUGUUACUGGACCUUCUGAACAGGAAAAGAAGUCGCUUUCUUCAGCAUUCUUAAGGGCUGUGACAACAGGAACUGUUGAAAAAAGGUAUUCAGCCUCAAUACCACCACCACCUUCUCCCAUAAAAGAUUUAGGAAUGGAAAAUGAGUGUGAGUUUUUAAUUGACGAAUCGGAUGGUUUUUCUUUUACAUCCUGGUUUUCAAUUCCCCAAAAGAACAAAAAAAUAGAGAAACAGGCCUUAGCAAAGCCUGUGCCAAAAUCUCAGCCUUCCAAAAGGAAAAAGGCGGUUGUACGAGAAAGCAAGAAACGUAAGGAUAGGAAGGCACAGAAUGAAGUACCUGUUAAAGUGACUCGUAUGGAACAGUCGAAAAUGAAAACAUGUGACAUUGCUGAAGGGAUACAAGACGAGUUACAAAAUGCUUCGGAUACAAAUCUAGGUUUAUCUGACAAAAAGAAAGAUGCUCUUAAAUCUGUAAGGCAAAGCAGCCCUCACAUGGAAGAAAGUAAAAAACAUACAGAUAGACAAAGAUCCACAAGAACCCCAAACAAGGAAAAGUCCACGGCCCUGAAACAGAUACAGCCCAAAAAAUUCACUUUUUCAAUUUCCAGAUCAGACCCAGAUACUUCUGAUACAGAACAACCUAAACCAACAGAAAUACCUAAUGAAGAUUCCUUUGGAUCUUAUAGUCUGACUGAGGAGCCACAAGAGAAGGUUGUGUCUUCAAAAGAGGAUCAUAAUUUUCCAAAACCUCCCCAGUCCAUUUUAAAAACUGCUCUACAUUCAUCCCACAAGAAACAAACUGCUAAACAGAAACUUUCAGAAGUUGCAUCAUCUAAAAAACUGGUAGAAAACCGAAGAAACAAACUUAGAAAAUCUGCCCUUAAAUCCAGUAGUAGAAAAUCCAGGGUACAAAUCUCAGAGGAGAGUUCUGAAAGUGAGCCCAUAGAGGAGGUGGAUGAAAGAGAGCUGUUAAAGUCAAACAAAGUGUUUGCCCCCUCAUUGCAACAGGAAUCACCGACUUCUGCAUUACAGAAGUCCCGUAAAUCUCCCAAACCUAAAAACGUCACACAUUCACUAGAAUCAUCUGGUAAUGUACAUAUCAAAACUCCUGCAAGAUCUAAAAAACCUUCACAGAUUUUCAUAGGCAAUACAGAAGACUCUGAUGAGGGGAAAAGAGCAUCAGCGAAAUCUCUACGGAGGACAGCUACUCAGAUUAAUCAAAGAACAAAUAUGAUUGAUUAUUCAAACCCUGAAAAUGCUGAACCUGGGAAUGCAACAGAUCGCAAGGGUUCCUCUGGCCAGGACAUGGCAAAACAAAACCACAAGAUGUCAAAUGCGUCUAUGAAAACAAAAUAUAAAAAAAAGAGUAAUGUCCACCGAUCACAAGUCUCUCCUGCGCCUGAGAAAAACAAGAAUCAUAGCAGUGGGCCUGUACUGAAACGUUAUGUAAAAUUUACUUCAAAAAAUGAUGAGCCUAUUGCAUGUGAGUGGGAGGAUUCAUCUUCAGAUAAAUCUAUAGCCUUGAAGGGCGAUGCAAGUGAAUUUUUGUCAAACACACCACUAAAGCAUAAACUAGUAAUGCCAUCCCAAACACCCAAUGUUCGUCGGACAAAAAGAAUACGACUAAAGCCUUUGGAGUAUUGGCGAGGGGAGCGUGUGAACUAUAUGAUGAGACCUUCAGGAGGGUUUGUGGUAGGUGGAAUAGUGUCUCCUGAAAAGGAUUCAUGCAGGAAGGCUAGAGUAAAGAGAAAACAUACACCAAAAACAAGGAGUCAUGUUGCUGAACAUUUGAAUGUCUCCCUAGCAGAUACUUCUAAGCCAACUGCUGUAUGGGAUCCAACCAUUAAUGAAGAGGUUUUGCUAGAGUGUGUUAACACUGGAAGUAAUCAUUCUUGUUUCUUUAAUGAUGAGUCAGUGGAAAUAUAUAAAAACCUGAACACAUCUGUUUUUGCUGCUGGUAAAUUGAUCUUGAAACCACUUAAAGAAAAGGGGCACCAAUUUGUUUACACAGAUAAUAUAGCUUUCCAUGUUAUCCGUGGCAAGAUUAUUGUUACCCUUCAUAAGACGUCCUAUUAUCUGACUACAGGAGAUUUUUUCUAUGUUCCAGAAGGUUAGUAGUCCCAAGCAAAGGGUCAGAGACUUUUCAGGGGCUGGAGAUGACAUGGUUAGGAUGGCUCCUGUCCUCUCUAUUGCUCUGGAUAAUGCAUCUUUAAAGGAAAUGGAUACAACAUACGCAAUCUCCUGAAUGAGGAAAGUAUUCUUCUCUUCACACAGCUGAAAGGAGAAAGGCCAAUUAUAGAACAUUCAUUAAAUGAGUCCUCUUCCUCAUAGCCUGUCCAGCAAAUUGGAGAUCAUUUUACGUUGGAUAUUGGGGGAUUCUAAAGAAGUCCGUAAUUACUUUUCAGCUGGAAUUCUCUUCAGGUCUGGGAAUAUAUUGUUUCGUGGACAUUGACACAGAUCUCUUUGUCAGCUGUACGUUGUAAAUUUAUGUAACCAUUUGUGGUCACACGAGUCAUUUCUGGUUUUGUAUCAAUAAAGAGUAAAUAAGGUAAA